rnacentral:tRNA from 1 species
AAAAAAUUAGUUAAAUAAAUAACAUAAGCUUGUCAAGCUUAAAUUAUCUAAAUAAAGAUAUUUUUUA